rnacentral:rRNA from 1 species
UAGGGAAUUUUCGUCAAUGGGCGCAAGCCUGAACGAGCAAUGCCGCGUGAACGAGGAAGGUCUUCGGAUCGUAAAGUUCUGUUGAAGGGGAAAAAGAGCGGAGAGAGGAAAUGGUCUCCGAUUGAUAUUACCCUUCGAGGAAGUCACGGCUAACUACGUGCCAGCAGCCCGGUAAUCAUA